rnacentral:rRNA from 1 species
UACGUAGGUCCCGAGCGUUGUCCGGAUUUAUUGGGCGUAAAGCGAGCGCAGGUGGUUUAAUAAGGCUGAUGUAAAAGGCAGUGGCUCAACCAUUGUGUGCAUUGGAAACUGUUAGACUUGAGUGCAGUAGAGGAGAGUGGAAUUCCAUGUGUAGCGGUGAAAUGCGUAGAUAUAUGGAGGAACACCGGUGGCGAAAGCGGCUCUCUGGACUGUCACUGACACUGAGGCUCGAAAGCGUGGGUAGCAAACAGG